UCCAGCAAGCUCUCGUAAUAAAGUGUCUGCAAAUCGGCUCUGUUUUGUGGUGACGAUAUACACCUUAGAACUGGCAAAUUUCAAAGCUUCAGGAACACCUGGGUAGAAUCUGUUUGCUCGGAUCCAUGUUGCCAAAUCCUCAUCCAUCCACUUAUCCCUGACCUCUCCAAAGAGAUUUAUUAAAGCAUCCCUAUUCUCACCCCAUGCUUCCAUAAUUAUAGGUUUUAUCUUCAACCAGUUUUCCAAUAU
rnacentral:misc_RNA from 1 species